GAUGAACGCUGGCGGCGUGCCUAAUACAUGCAAGUCGAGCGAACGGACGAGAAUCUUGCUUCUCUGAUGUUAGCGGCGGACGGGUGAGUAACACGUGGAUAACCUACCUAUAAGACUGGGAUAACUUCGGGAAACCGGAGCUAAUACCGGAUAAUAUUUUGAACCGCAUGGUUCAAAAGUGAAAGACGGUCUUGCUGUCACUUAUAGAUGGAUCCGCGCUGCAUUAGCUAGUUGGUAAGGUAACGGCUUACCAAGGCAACGAUGCAUAGCCGACCUGAGAGGGUGAUUGGCCACACUGGAACUGAGACACGGUCCAGACUCCUACGGGAGGCAGCAGUAGGGAAUCUUCCGCAAUGGGCGAAAGCCUGACGGAGCAACGCCGCGUGAGUGAUGAAGGUCUUCGGAUCGUAAAACUCUGUUAUUAGGGAAGAACAUAUGUGUAAGUAACUGUGCACAUCUUGACGGUACCUAAUCAGAAAGCCACGGCUAACUACGUG
rnacentral:rRNA from 1 species